GAUGAACGCUGGCGGCGUGCCUAAUACAUGCAAGUCGAGCGAACAGACGAGGAGCUUGCUCCUCUGACGUUAGCGGCGGACGGGUGAGUAACACGUGGAUAACCUACCUAUAAGACUGGGAUAACUUCGGGAAACCGGAGCUAAUACCGGAUAAUAUAUUGAACCGCAUGGUUCAAUAGUGAAAGACGGUUUUGCUGUCACUUAUAGAUGGAUCCGCGCCGCAUUAGCUAGUUGGUAAGGUAACGGCUUACCAAGGCAACGAUGCGUAGCCGACCUGAGAGGGUGAUCGGCCACACUGGAACUGAGACACGUUCCAGACUCCGACGGGAGGCAGCAGUAGGGAAUCUUCCGCAAUGGGCGAAAGCCUGACGGAGCAACGCCGCGUGAGUGAUGAAGGUCUUCGGAUCGUAAAACUCUGUUAUUAGGGAAGAACAAAUGUGUAAGUAACUAUGCACGUCUUGACGGUACCUAAUCAGAAAGCCACGGCUAACUACGUG
rnacentral:rRNA from 1 species